UAAUACGUGGGGUGCAAGCGUUGUUCGGAAUUACUGGGCGUAAAGCGCGUGUAGGCGGCCAAGCGGGUCAGGUGUGAAAGCCCUCGGCUUAACCGAGGAAGUGCGCCUGAAACUAUUUGGCUUGAGUACGGGAGAGGAGGGUGGAAUUCCCAGUGUAGAGGUGAAAUUCGUAGAUAUUGGGAGGAACACCGGUGGCGAAAGCGGCUCUCUGGACCGUAACUGACGCUAAGACGCGAAAGCGUGGGGAUCAAACAGG
rnacentral:rRNA from 1 species